ensembl:lncRNA
GUAGGUAGGACAUUUGUCUUAUUUUCACAGUGGGAAGCCCUCGGACAGUUCUGAUGAAACUCCAAGCCUGAAUGAAAUAAUCAGCCUUCAAAGCUAACCUCAAAUCAUGUCCUCAAUGUCACACAAAAGUUUUAAGGGAUGGAAUUUCAAGGCAAGCUAGGAGAAUUUUUAACAACACAUAGAUGAGUGGACCAAGGAAAGAUCAGACCUCCAGAUAUUCAAGGCCAGUUGAAGAAAUAGUGCAACUCACACAGCGUUUCCACAAGAACAAGGACCAAGUGCAACCUGCAGGCAAAAGCUGUGGUUUGCACAAAGACAGAGUGGAGAACAAUUGGACAGGCAUCAACACUGAAUGAAGAAAAUUUUGGAGCCCACCUACCCUACUGUAGAGCCUUUGUGCUACAGCUCAGACUCAGACGUGAAAACAUAAAUGCCAUAAUGCAAAAGCACCGAAGUCUUCUACUGGAUCUGGCCCAAGGAUCUCUCAAUUCUUUCCACGUGUUUCCAUGUGCAAGACUUCUGCUGGUCUAAGCCACUUUCCCCUCCAUAAGCAACAACUUCAGCACACAGCAGAAAGCUGCACGGUAAACAAACAGAAACUGGAACAUAAUGCCAUCUUCAGAAAAAAAAGUGUGCACAUUAACAGUAAGGAAAAGCCCCAUACGGUUCCCAGAAAAGACCAUAUGAACCAGAAGAACUGGCUGUUGGGCCCAUGCAUCCUGUGUGUCCUUAUGCUUGGGACAAUGAUGGCCUUCUGGAAAUUUUCAGAAAUCUCUGUUUGGCUGAGGAUGGAGAAGUCAGAAAGGGUGCCAAAAUCUUUUCCCAUACCUGACCAGACUUGGAGGAGAUUUUUCAGAACAAACUGUGGAGUGGUCUUAAGUGGAGAGGAUACUGCAAGGAAAUAUCCACUUAGAGACAUCGUGGAAACAUCUUCCAACGCUACAGAGGAAAAAAUGCAUAUCUAUUUUUUAAGAUGGAUCAUGGCUGGCUUCUGAGAUGGAUGAGAAUGACAUGACCGCAUGUAAUAAAUUUGAUCAUGAU